GUACUGCUGAGGAGUCCCAAAAUAGGACGAAGCGACUGUCUAGUAC
rfam:Schistosoma rodhaini strain Burundi genome assembly, scaffold: SROB_scaffold0006983